rnacentral:tRNA from 1 species
UAUUAAGUGACUGAAUAAAAGUAAUGGUCUCUUAAACCACAUGAUAGUAAUGACUACUCUUAAUG